CGUUAAUUUGAUUGAUAAGUACGUUGAAUAUGUGAUACCAGUUUAGAAAAUAGCGACUUUUUUUUAUCUGAAUCAUAAUAAAAAAGAAGCAGGAGUAACACACUGUUCCCGAUUUAAACAGCGAAAAGCUAUUGAAAGUCAUUACGGUAGUUAAGAAAGACUUUGCUGAGACUUGAAAUAAGCGUAAGUGCAAUAUAAGCCAUGCUCGUCAGACAGUUGUUGUAUAAUAGAACAACACGUACACAUGUAUAAUUGAAUGAAGAGUUUGUAAAUAUUUCAAUUCACCUAUUUAUUAUAAUUUUACUCACAAAAUAAAUGCAUAAAUGCAAGUUAUACAAGUUAAUUUGUUCUCUGCAUAUCAAACACAAACAUGUUUGUUUUGAUCGAAAUAAAUAUCGUACGAUCACCACGUCCACGCGCCUUGUUUUGAUUGCGAACAGCUGACAGUAAAGUGUCCACAUUUUCAUAUGAAACAUGGCUUGCAAAACUUCGAUAGUGGAAAAUGCAUCUCAACUUUCCUUUGGGAGAUUAUAAAGCCCAAAAAGACUCUUGUUCCCACAUGGCGACUACAUGGCUUUUACUUGUUCAUUCUUGUGGAUUCAGCUCAUGAGGUUACCCGUUCAACUUUACCCACAUGCAUGAUUCCUUGUGUUUUACAGACUUUUUACCGGUAAUUCAAAUUCAAUACGAUAAAGCGUGAACAAUAAUGGAACUUUAAGAUAGCAUCAUGCUUGUUGUGUUUGACAAGAAAUUAUGACAAACAAGAUUAAGGCUGUUUAAAGAAAUUUACAAUUUUUAUUUGUUAGUUGUGAAAAUUGGUUUCUCAAUAAAAGUAUGCAAUUAUG